AGAGUUUGAUCCUGGCUCAGGAUGAACGCUGGCGGCAUGCCUAAGACAUGCAAGUCGAACGAGGUGGCCCAAUGAUAUUGGAGUGCUUGCACAAAGAAGGAUUUGGAUUUUCCACCUAGUGGCAAACGGGUGAGUAACACGUGGGUUACCUGCCUCUAAGAUGGGGAUAACAACUGGAAACGGUUGAUAAUACCGAAUGUGCUCUACGGAGUAAAGGAGCCUUUAAAGCUCCGCUUAGAGAUGGGCCUGCGGCGUAUUAGCUUGUUGGUGGGGUAAUGGCCUACCAAGGCAACGAUGCGUAGCCGAACUGAGAGGUUGAUCGGCCACACUGGGACUGAGACACGGCCCAGACUCCUACGGGAGACAGCAGUUAGGAAUAUUCGUCAAUGGGGGAAACCCUGAACGAGCAAUGCCGCGUGAGUGAUGAAGGCCCUAUGGGUUGUAAAACUCUGUUGUUGAGAAAGAAUGAUGCGAUCAGGAAAUGGAUCGUAUUUGACGGUACUCUUCAAGAAAGCUCCGGCUAACUACGUGCCAGCAGCCGCGGUAAUACGUAGGGAGCGAGCGUUAUCCGGAUUUAUUGGGCGUAAAGCGUGCGCAGGCGGAUUGUUAAGUCUAAGAUAAAAGCCCGGAGCUUAACUCCGGUUCGUCUUAGAAACUGGCAGUCUUGAGUAUGGUAGAGGCAAAUGGAAUUCCUAGUGUAGCGGUGGAAUGCGUAGAUAUUAGGAGGAACACCAGUGGCGAAAGCGGUUUGCUGGGCCAUCACUGACGCUCAUGCACGAAAGCGUGGGGAGCAAAUAGGA
rnacentral:rRNA from 1 species